GGAAGCGGAUGGGUCCUGGUGGGUCCCCCGGACUUCAAAUCCGGUGUCGGGUGCGACGAGCGCCCUGGGCAGGUUCGAUUCCUGUGCGCUUCCGCCA
rnacentral:tRNA from 2 species